CGUAGGGACCGAGCGUUGUCCGGAUUCAUUGGGCGUAAAGAGCUCGUAGGCGGCCACUCAAGUCGAAUGUGAAACCUCGAGGCUUAACCUCGAGCCUGCAUUCGAUACUGGGCGGCUAGAGUCUGGUAGGGGGAUCUGGAAUUCCUGGUGUAGCGGUGGAAUGCGCAGAUAUCAGGAGGAACACCGGUGGCGAAGGCGGGAUCCUGGGCCAGUACUGACGCUGAGGAGCGAAAGCGUGGGGAGCAAACAGGAUUAGAUACCCUGGUAGUCCACGCCGUAAACGAUGGGCGCCAGGUGUGGGAGGUCAUCGACUCCUUCCGUGCCGCAGCUAACGCAUUAAGCGCCCCGCCUGGGGAGUACGGCCGCAAGGCUA
rnacentral:rRNA from 1 species